GAGGAACGAAACAACGCUGGACUAUCAUUUCUAUAUUUGGACGAUCAGCACCUCUUUGAAGCUAUCUCUCAAUAUCUGUGUGUCCUCAUAAGAUCCGAUCGAUUUAGUCCUUGUUAGUGCUCUUAGAUUCUGAAUUCUUCAUCAGCACUGAGACAUGAGUUUCCUCUUCGGCAAGAGAAAAACCCCCGCAGAACUUCUGCGGGAAAAUAAGAGGAUGCUGGAUAAAUCUAUUAGAGAGAUAGAGAGGGAGAGGCAAGGUCUACAGGCUCAAGAAAAGAAACUAAUUGCAGAGAUAAAGAAAAGUGCUAAGCAAGGACAGAUGGGAGCUGUUAAAGUAAUGGCAAAAGACCUUAUUAGGACAAGACAUCAGAUUGAAAAGUU
rnacentral:misc_RNA from 1 species